GUAAAUUCCUCGUGGCCUUACGACAACCUUACGACGAUUUUGGCUUACGAGGAAUUAACGAGUAUUACGUAUAAAUCCCUAAAAUCCGAAACCCCAAACCCCAUCUUCCUUAUCUUCUACUUCAUAUAUUCCAAACCCCAAACCCAUCUACCCUUGAACCUCAAUCUAUUCUUUCACCUCAAACCCUAUUUAUAAAAUAUUCCAAACCCCAAACCACAAGUCCAUAUUCAUAAUUAAAAUAAACUUUCACAUUACCUUAUUCAUAAA
rnacentral:lncRNA from 1 species